UCCAGCUUCGAGCGUGGCCAAUCGGGCG
rnacentral:sRNA from 1 species